rnacentral:rRNA from 1 species
GAUGAACGCUAGCUACAGGCUUAACACAUGCAAGUCGAGGGGAAACGAUAUUGGAAGCUUGCUUCCGAUAGGCGUCGACCGGCGCACGGGUGAGUAACGCGUAUCCAACAUGCCCACCACUUGGGUAUAACCUUGCGAAAGUAAGACUAAUACCCAAUGAUAUCUCCAGAAGACAUCUGAAUGUGAUUAAAGAUUUAUCGGUGAUGGAUGGGGAUGCUUCUGAUUAGCUUGUUGGCGGGGUACCGGCCCACCAAGGCGACGAUCAGUAGGGGUUCUGAGAGGAAGGUCCCACACAUUGGAACUGAGACACGGUCCAAGCUCCUACGGGAGGCAGCAGUGAGGAAUAUUGGUCAAUGGGCGAGAGCCUGAACCAGCCAAGUAGCGUGCAGGAUGACGGCCCUAUGGGUUGUAAACUGCUUUUAUAAGGGAAUAAAGUGAGCCUCGUGAGGCUUUUUGCAUGUACCUUAUGAAUAAGGACCGGCUAAUCACCCGCCAGCAGCCGCAGUAA